GGAGGAUUAGCUCAGCUGGGAGAGCAUCUGCCUUACAAGCAGGAGGUCACAGGUUCGAUUCCUGUAUCCUCCA
rnacentral:tRNA from 1 species